GACUGUUUUGAUGAGGAUUAUGUGUCCCAUCCGUUUGACUCACAGUUUGGUACCAUAGGUUGGUACGAUCUUCGUUGGAGAAGGAAAAGGGAUGUUCCAGAUACAGAAAAUCGUCAAACCAUUUACUACAAAGUCCGUUUCUGGGUGGAGUUAGUGGAACCGAAAAAGAUGUCUCCCUCACAGCGUUUGUGACAAAAGAGUUGCAUUGUUCCUUGGCGGCCUUUCAACAGAAGAAUAUUCAGAGAUUUCACGAGUGGUCCUUAUGGGAACAGGAAAAAUGACAAGCUGGAAAAUUUUGCAAGUAAUCUUUGGGCCAGCCUGGAAUCUUCCCAUCCUCUGGCCAUGACCUUGUGACCCUGCUUGGAGGUUGUAGUUACAGUUUCAGAAGUGAUCAAUUCCAGUGAGGAUGUCUGUACUAAGGUGAAAGCUCACGCACAGUUCUUCACGACGGGAAAAAUGGCUCCAUUCAGACUCUGGAGAUUCAGGUAUCCCACUGAGAAUCGUUGUCUCCUUCAUCAUUCACCUUAUUCCAGUCACCUGUCCUGCUCUGUGUGAUUUCUGUCCAUUCUCUCAGUCAUGCUUGUCUGAGGGGAUAGCCACGACUGUAGCCCUGUUGUUGACUUGUGCAGUAUCCUCACAGUCAGGGAAUGCUUCCCCAUUCCUGAGAGAUUUCAGCUGGCUUAAACAGCUCUGAAAACCACUAAACACUUUUACAAGAGUCAGCGGAAAUCCACUUGCAUCUAACCUGUAAGUAGUUGGUGAUAUCUCUAUCCUCACUGCACUGGAUUAAGAGAGGAUUGUAACUGGAAUACUGAGGUCAAAACAUAUACCAUUAGCAUCCAAGCAGCAUUACGCAUACUUCCAUCAGAAUGUGAAUCAGAUGACAGGGAUUAUACCUAGCACUUGGAGAACUGACAGAAACCCCAGGUUACCGUGUCAGGAAAGUUCCAGUGAAUGAAGUGCCAACCGAGCACUUACCAUUCGGGGGCAGUCUGUGGCUAAAACCCCACUCACUGAGAGAUGCUGGCCAAACAGAGACUAGUGUCUCGCCAUUGCAGGUGGUGCCACCAGGAAGGGUGGCUGAUGCUGGUACUGCAAUUAAUCCAAUGCUAUUAGUGAGUCAUGAACAAAUUGGGGUCGUGGGAGAGGUUUUCUGGCCAGGGAAUCAGGAGGUUGUAAGAAAAGGUAGUCAGGUGCUAUCUGUUUGCCAUCGCUACUAAUAUGGCAUGGCGGAUCAACGGUUAGCACUGCUGCCUCACAGCUCCAGGGACCCAGGUUCAAUUCCAACCUCAGGUGACUGUCUGUGUGGAGUUUGCACAUUCUGUAUAUGUCUGCAUGGGUUUCCUCUGGGUGCUCCAGUUUCCUCCCACAGUCCAAAGAUGUGCAGGUUAGAUGGCUUGGCCAUGCUAAGUUGCUAAGAGUGUCCAGGUAUGUGUGGGUUAGGUGGGUUAUAGUGGAAUGGGUGUGGGUGGAAUGCUGCAAAGGUCAAUGUUGGGUCAAAGGGUCUGAUUGUACACUGUAGGGAUUCUAUAAUUAAGAGUAUUACUUCUCAAACUUUCUGUGUGAUAUUUGUUCAGCCUCAGUUAUUAAUUGCCCACUCAGGGGAGUAAAGACCAUUUACCAGCCUUCCCAAUCGAGACUGCAUCAGGGUAAAACUUGAAAGACAGUCAGGUCCGUACUUACACUCUCCAGCUCAAACCCCGCAUAAAGAGAGGGGUGUUAAAUUCUACCCGUCAUGUACAAAAUCCAGCACCUACGUGAUUGCCUGCAAAAAUGCCAUCCAUCACUGCCCACAACAGAAGAGUGAACCUGGCAGAAACGCAGAAUUGCUACAACGCAGAAGGAAGACAUUCAGCCCAUCAUACUUGCCAAGCUCUCUGAGCACUCUAAUUUAAGGCCAAUCUUCUACCUUUUUCCAAAAACCCUGCAUGUAUUUUUUUUUCUGUUUAAGUAACCAUCCCUCUUGCGUGCCUUCGCCGAAUCUGCCACCACCACAUUUCCGGGCAGUGGAUUCCAGGCCCAGAUCACUCACUGGCUGAAUAAAGUAUUUUUUCUCACUGCCCAUUUGCUUCUUUUGUUAGCAUCUUUGAAACUGUGCCCUC